AUUCAAAAUAUAGUAUUAGUAUUCUUAUCUGUUUGCUGCCUUUUUUUUCUUUCCUUUCUUUCUUAGUUGUUGAGCACUAACCACAACACAUUGCAGCUUCAAAUCUUUAGAAGAAUGUCGGCGCCGACCACCACAAUCCAGGCUGCACACGCCGCAUCGCUCGUCACGGAGGACCUCUACAAAGUGCCCACUGUAACUCAUUCAACUCUUUUGCUCGUUAAUAAGUCGACAACAUUAGGAAAGGGUACAACCUGGAGUAAGAGACGAGUCUUCAGAACUUGAGAGAUGGAAAGAAAGGCAAUCUUAAAGUUUCCACUGAGAUCUGUUAUUGUGGAAGACAUCAUUCUUGUUCCCGCCACCUUUGCUGACGUCGUGCUUGCCUAUGCUACCAUGCAAUUGUCAGAUUAUUUUCUUUCUUCUUCCAAGUUACGAGGUUUUGCCGCGUGUUGAAAUUUUCCCUCUGUUGUUCUGUUUUGUUGGUGUUUCAUUUAGUUGUGCGAUUUUCUGGCCCUGAUCCAUCAAAGAUGAGAGGGUCAAAAAGAGGGAAAUCAAAUACUUCAUUAACACGAUGAGUAAGAUCUCUGCAAACGAACUAGGUAAAACUUGAAUGCCAUCGUUUUUUU